AAGUGUGACAUCAGCGGUCAUGGAGAGUCUCCAUCCAGCUGGAUCACUGUCACAGGGAAACCUACAACCACAUCUCCACUUACUCCCACACCUGUAUCUACAUCCACCUCUAUCCCUACACCAGCCUCUCCUCCUCUUCUUCUUCAUGUGUUAAUCUCUAUUGGAUCCGUCUGUGCUUUGGUUCUACUGGUGUUACUGGUUCUACUGGUGAGAAGAGAUGCUGACUGGAAACCUGAAGAGAUUUCUACAGCUGUAGUUUACUCAGCAGUGAGAGCUGAAGACGUCAGUAUUGGAGACAAAACCAUCAGAAAGAGGAGUCCAAGACUUUAAACCAGAGCCAGACGUCCUCUACUCUUCACUGAAGUAGUCCACCAGUCCAACCACUGACGUCCAGCUGCUGGUCUCUAACUGGUCCCCCCAGCACCUCAGACCAGAG